UACGUAUUUCUGAAGGAGGGGCCUUAUAGAACAAGGAAGACAUCAGCUCGUUUUUAGGACAGUGAAAACAGGCGGUAUACAGAUAAGUAAAUUGUGUGAAAAAUACUGCUUUUUUUACACGCGAAACAUGAACACGUUAUAUUGCCCACUAUAAACACAAUCAAAGCUUCAAAAACACAGAAAGAACAUGAGCUUUAAGACAGCACAUUAGCACCAUUAUCCUGUUUUUGUAGGCAGAGCAACUUUUCCAUUCCAGCAUGACAAUUCCCAAAGCAAGGUUCAAAAAUAAAUUAUUGAUUUAGUCUGGUGUGGAAGAACUUGACUGGUCUGCAUAAAGCCCAGACCAAAACCUAGCUGAACACCUGACUUGCAAGGUCUGAGCCAAACUGGAGAUUUCAAAUUGCCCUUUUCUUGGUGUGUUUAUAUGUGUAUAGUGUAUGGACUGUGGAACAAAACCACAUACUGUAAUACCCAGAGUAAACCAAUGCUGACACAGGGAGAACAUGUAAACUUCACACAGAAAGACCUCCUGACUCCCCCAGGGAUCUGGUGUCUUCUACAGCAGAACCAGGGACCUUCUUGCUGUAAGAAAACUGAGCUCUGUGUGGGAUGAUCACUGUGUGUCCCAAACAUCUUAAUUAGAUGGGGCAUCCCAAUACUUGUCUAAAGUGUUUGUAUGUAUGUGAUUUACACACCUACUGUAUAUAUGAUUUCUAUGUAUAUUGUUUCACAGGCAACAUGCACAUGUGGGGCAGUGCUGCAUUUACAGUGUGCAGCCACACCUGUGUGCUACAUAUGCCAAGAUGACAGCAACUCGUUAUCCCAGAUCUCUUUGCCUACAGCAGCCACGUCAGCGCUCAUGGCUGACACUGACCUGGUAGAACAAUCCUCUAGAUCUGCAGAAUGCUCUGCACUACAACAGGGUCAACAAAAAGGAUGUUCCACCCAAUGUAUUGCAGCAGCCUAGAAAGGCAAAGACAAAGGUGACAAUAUUCAGCACCUUAACAGAGGGAGAGGCAGAAGACCUUGCCAAAGGCUUUGGCAUGGCAUUGGCUAAACAUGUGCCCAAAGAGAAGCUACUUACUGGGAUACCUGAAGACGACAUUCCAGCAACGCUGCGAAGCAUUGAAAGAAUGAAGAUUAACAUGCAAAACCUAGGACCUGAAUCUGAGCUGGAUUUGGCCACUCACCGCUUUGGGCCCACAGCAGCUGAUGUUUUCUUUUCUUUUUUAGAGGACUCUAUAAAAACUCAGGACCCAGAAGGGACUAACAUGCACACAUACAACACUACCAUCCCAGAAAUGUAAUUAAGAAUUUUUUAAAAUCAAAAUCCACGUGACACUUUUUGUUUUGUAUUUUAUUUAGCAUUGGAGACAAAUACAUACAUAAAAAAAUAAAAGUCUUUAAUAAAUGCGACUUUGUUCAAA